rnacentral:rRNA from 1 species
GCGAACGGGUGAGUAAUAUAUACGGAACGUACCCAGAAGUGGGGGAUAACGCAGCGAAAGUUGCGCUGAAUACCGCAUACGAUCUACGGAUGAAAGUGGGGGACCUGCAAGGGCCUCAUGCUUUUGGAGCGGCCGAUAUCUGAUUAGCUAGUUGGUGAGGUAAAAGCUCACCAAGGCGACGAUCAGUAGCUGGUCUGAGAGGACGACCAGCCACACUGGAACUGAGACAGGGUCCAGACUCCAUACGGGAGGCAGCAGUGGGGAAUUUUGGACAAUGGGGGCAACCCUGAUCCAGCAAUGCCGCGUGAGUGAAGAAGGCCUUCGGGUUGUAAAGCUCUUUUGUCAGGGAAGAAACGGUGUUGCCGAAUAAGUGGCACUAAUGACGGUACCUGAAGAAAAAGCACCGGCUAACUCUGUGCCAGCAGCCGCGGUAAUACAGAGGGUGCGAGCGUUAAUCGGAAUUACUGGGCGUAAAGCGCGCGUAGACGGUUUUGUAAGUCAGAUGUGAAAUCCCUGGGCUCAAACUGGGAACUGCAUUUGAUACUGCAUGGUAAAGUAUCCGAAAGAGGGGGAAGUGGAAAUUUCCCGGUGUAAGCGGUGAAAUG